GGACCAAUCUUUGCUGUGGCUGACUGAGUACUUGGGAGUUUUUCUUGGUCUGCCCUCUCUUAGGUCCCCUCAGCAUUGGAGCAGGCUGUGUUCGAGGAUUCCAAGGACCUCACAGGGUUUCCCUCUGGAAAGACCUGGAGAUGGCUUUCAAGUGAUGUUGGGAGAAGAUGAGGCAAGGUGGCUGAUGAGAUCUGCAUGCUUAUUUUUUCAUCUCAGCACCACAGAAAAUAACUUUCUUCUUUUCUUUACCUGCAAAUGAAGAUGUCAUCAUGCUCCAUAAGAGGGACUGAAGGAAAUCCCACUGACAUCAACCACACAGUUCAACAUGGUGUUGGGCUUUCAUUUCUUAAUAAUUUCAUAGUAUAAAACCCAUCAGUGAACACUACCCUUCAUCAUAGAGAAGACAGGUUGGCUCCUAGCAGCAGCACUCUACUUCCUCCAAAGAAGGCAGAAGUCAAAUGGGCACACAACAACGUCCAUUCACAGUUCGCUUCAACUGCCAAGCACUGACCAUUGGGAAAAACUGCCUCUCAUCUAAGCUAAAGAUCUCCUGACGUGGACAGAAUCACUGGAAUCAACAGCCUAGCUGCUCAGGGUAAAGCAGCCUGCAUGGAAUUCUCUCUGAAGUCUGAAGUUAUCUUGUCUGUGUGAAAGACGUUCUUUGUGACUGAGAACACUAUGCCAGUCUGAGCAAUGUAAGAUAUCCUGGUGCUAUUUCUGUUCAUCAAUAUUUCACACCUUAAGCAGAGAAUCAUCUUCUGGCCAUCCACAGCCAUAUGUGUGCCCAACAAGUAUAAAACACACCACCAAAGGACUGUGCAAAGAGCCCCACAGCUGUUCUUAUUAGGGAGGCAGAGCAGUGCUACCUGAGUAAGUUAUGGGAACAACCAAUCAUUCAGUCAACAAGCCCAUGGCUUUGCUAAGUAGAGCCCCCUGCGAUGCCCGGUGAGGCAGCUUCGCCAGGUAGGACUCUCCAACAGUGUCUAGUGUGUUGGCUUGUUAAACACUGGUUUUCACUGCUGUAUGGUCCCACGGCCCUCAGCAAAGACUAUUAAUUUCUUCAGCCCCCAGUUGUCACACUGUCCUACCAACCCUAACUCCCCUACCUUUCCUGGCUUGUCAUCUACUCUAUCCACCCCUUUCACAGGUGACCCAUUGUGUUAAGCCAAACAAGUGGCCAUUCACAUUCUUCAUUCCCUGCAGACAGGGCCUGCCCUCAGGAUCUUAGGUGAGACAACUUCUUUGCAACCCUUGGUCUCCAUUGAGUCUCAAAAAGAGCAUAUUUGAAGGAAGCACCCCCGUUAGCUCAUCCAGAAGAUGAGAUUUUGUUCACGAUGCUGCCAACUCAACUGGCUACAAUUGCCACGUCAUAGGGCUACAAGGCAGUCAAAAGACCACCUAAUGACAGAGACAUCCUCCCUGCCACCAUGGGAACACCAGGCCCUCCCUUCAUCCAAGAAGAUGACAGCUAUGUCAUUUAGCUUUUUGCUUGCCCAAAGAAGAUGAGAGCUUCAUAACAGUGGAGAAAUUGUAGAAAUUAUAGAAGAGAUUUUUCUCCUCAUGGUUGGACAUGAAGGACAAACUUUCCAAUUCAUACAUUCUACUAAGGGGAUAGGAGGCCCACAAGGGGAGGGAUAGCCCUUCAGAUCAAAAAAAUUAAAGUUGUGCUAUAUUGAGGAGAGGAAUUUCUUCUGUCACAGAACAGAGAAAUUUACAACAGAGACAAAAUCCUACAACUCCUAGAUGAAUUCUGCUUCCCCCAGCCCCUGGGCUUGUGCCGCGUGAGGGUCACAUAAAUAGACAAGAUGGAGUCCGUUAAGAUACAGCACCACAGUCCUCUCCGUUACCCCCAGAAGAUAUGUUUACAUUCUGACUGCGCCCAGAGCUCCCCUCAUAGAAGCCAGAAGGAAGAAAAAGAACCAUUGAAGAAGGGGCUACUGGAAACCAGGAGGGCUGGUUUUUUGUCAUGAGAGGAAGCAGUAAUUCCGGAGAUGACCACUCCCAUCCUCAUCUGCCAAGCUAGUGGACCAACCCAUCUGGAAAAACUGGCCUACAAGAAUUAUUGCUGACAUACUUGGUGGCCUGGACGUUGCCAACACUGACUAAAUGAGUUGGCAAAGCCUGUCAGCAGUGUUCUUGGAACGACCCCAAGCAGGAACUCAAGGCCCACAAGCUGAUACAAAAGUGGAAGUCCUUCCUACCCAUCAAGACAUCUAGCAGUGCUUUCACUGACAUCCCACCCAGCAGAGGGGCUGGUACUUGCUGGCUUGGCAUGCGCUUCUCAGCUGAGUAGGAGCCUUUCCUACCACACAGAGGAUUGACUUGGACUUGUGCUCAUGAUUCUGCCCCAUCAUUAGGAUGGGUUGAGAGAAAAAGUUUAACUUUAAAAUGACACCGAUUAAAUAUUACCAAGAAACAGAUCUCCCUUGGGCAGAAAUUCUGCCCCUUUUACUGCUUAGGGUACAAUGUUCACAAACACCUCAGGGGACCUCUGGAAGUAUGGAUACACUGGCUUCAGCAGUUCUUUAAAAACCUUGGCUAUGUUGCACAAAACAUUUCCAAAUCCUCAGCCCUCCCUCAGCCCUUAAAAUUGCAGGUAGCAAGCCAUGGAUACCCCACACACAUGCCAAGGCUGUUGUAGACAGGAACCAGGAGAGGACCAUGAGAGCUGGCUUAGAGCAGCCUCUGAAACUGACAGUCUCCAAACAGCCUCACAAUGGGGGUGAUGGCUCCUGAUUCUGUGGAUAUGCACCUAUGUAGUCUCCACUCAGCCUCUGACCCUGCCACAGAAAUUAGGCUGGAGAACAACCUUGUCCCUGGGCAUCUCCAAUUCCUGGACAGUCAUCAGUGUAACUUACUGCCCCUUAGGGGUUCUGUCGUGUCUCCUUCGGGACAUACUACUUGGAAAGAUGCCAGCCAUUUACCAUCCACAGACCGCAACAUACUGUGCACCAAAACAGACUGUGAUGUCUUUUGGAGAUGGCCCUAGCCGGUGACAGUUUAUAGAUAGGUGGCCAGGGGACAAAAGAUCAAUUUCAGGGGAACCUAUUGUUCAGGAAAGCAUAGUCAUUGAGCAGAAUCAGGUCAAUUCAUGGUCAGUAAUGUCCCUCCAAAGCCAUAGAGGCCUUGAUAACAGUUGAAAGGGAGGCAGAGCCAUGGUUUUAAAAGCAGAAUGCUGAUCAGUCAGAAAUAGUAUGAGAAAAUGCCCAAAAAGUUACAGUAAAGAUUAAGGCUUGAGGUCCAAUUGGGACACAAUGAGGUACAGUAUGGACAUCGUGGGGACCCUGAUGGCUCUGCUACUGUGGCCUCUUAUGAUGGAUGACACUAGGACUCCUGUAAGGACCACGCCUCCCAACACCUGUCCAGGUUCAACAGAACUAGAAUAAAAACAGGGAACCAAAAAAAAGCCAAAAACAAAAAACAGGGAACCUGCAGAUGAUGAACCAGGGUGUCAACCAUUUCUUCAAGCAGUAUUCGUAAGGCGUUCUGACAUAAAGAAGAGGGAAUGAAGCAGAAUGAGUUAGAAAAGCCAAACUAUUAGAUGUUAAUCUAUUGGAUUAUUUUACUAGUUACUUAAAACUCUGCUUGUAUUGCCCAUGUUCCAAAAUGACUUCAAGUGGAACAAAAUGACCUGGAAUUGUGGUUGUAAGAAACAUGAGUCAUUGCCCUGAAUGACCUGUGACCUCCACGCAGCUCCUGUGAAAUCUUGCUUGCUUGACUGCUCCAGCUUGUGGUCUAGAGUAUAAAAAGGGAAAGAAAACUGGACUUGGGGCCAAAGCCUUUCAGGGGUCAUCCUGGCUUCGGUCCACUGGGAAUUUUCCUCUAUUCCACCCCCUUUGCUGGUGGAGUGCCCCAAAACUGCUUUGUCAAAUUUAAUUCUGUCAAAAUCCCAGUCGUCUCAAUUCCCACACCUGUGUAAGUUCUGUUCUUCCGGCAUCUCCAGAGGACUGUGCAUUGCCCUGUGCUCUGCAUUGCCAGGUGGGCUCUUAGCCGCCUCCUCUGGACCAUACACAGGCCACUUACAGGCAACACUUGAGUGAGCGCGGUGACGUGGGCGCCUCUCUGAAGCCCACAGCUGUGUCAAGAUGACCGACAGUACCUUCUUGUUCAAGGGGAUUCCAAUGCUGGCUGAUUUCAUUAGUGUGGAAUCUCUGUUGUUUGCUCAGAAU